CACGUAGGGGCCAAGCGUUGUCCGGAUUUAUUAGGCGUAAAGAGCUCGUAGGCGGUUCGACAAGUCGGGUGUGAAAACUCCGGGCUCAACCCGGAGACGCCACCCGAUACUGUCGUGACUGGAGUCCGGUAGGGGAGUGGGGAAUUCCUGGUGUAGCGGUGAAAUGCGCAGAUAUCGAGAGGAACACCUGAGGUGAAGACGGGUUGCUGGGCCGACACUGACGCUGACAGCGCGAAAGCCAGGGGAGCAAACGGG
rnacentral:rRNA from 1 species